rnacentral:lncRNA from 1 species
GCUAAGCCGCAUACUCAAAGCGAUUUGGAUGAGACGCAUACAACAAAUUCCUUACCUCCAUACCUUGAGGCGGCAGGUAAAGCCGUAUAGCCAGCUGGACUGAGGGAUGCUUUCUUUUCUGCUGACUUUUAGCCGUUGGACAGUAAUGCUUAAGGAAAUCUAGUCAAGGUAAAGCCCUAACUCCCGACCAAGGUGAAGCCUCCAUAAGCCUUAUUUCCCGUAUUCGUCCGUUGGGCCAUAAUUUCAUACGUUCCGACGGUGACAAUCAUAAUGCUACUAUUGUGGGCCGUCUCAAGGCCAGCAGUGUCGUGCGGUUGAAGCUCGUUUAAGGCGUUGCACAUGAGCCUGUAGGGCUCCACUGUAACGACUACUACUGCACUGCCAAGGAUGACGCGUUUUCAGUUGCGCCGAGGUUGCUUGGCAAUACGACUUUCGUGACCGGUAGAAUCUGAUUCUUAACUUUGACGACACAGUAGGAGCCAUGGAAUUAGGGGCAUCAUGUUAUGCGUCUUAUGCAUGUAUUUGUUAAGGGGGGGGGACUUGCGGCAAUUCGGGUGUCAUCCACAAGUGCUUAAGAUUAAUAGAGGAACAUGCAGGGAAAUAUGACACUGAUAGCCCAGUUCAAUAACCACACAUACACACGUUCCUUGCCAGGCCGACGGCCACCGGCGUGAGAAUCAGCAAGCUUGGAGCUCGAAUGCUUGGAACUUCACCUAGCUUCAUCAGAAGAUGUGUGAUCGGGGCCCCCCUUUUCCAAUGACGUGCAUUCACGGACCUUCACGACGCCCAUGCGUCAGUACACAACUGAUGAAGGAAACGGAUCAGCACGUUGUUAUCAGCACACCGCCAUGAAUCAAUUAUAGCAGUGGCAGUGUAUUGGUAACAAGCUAAGAGAUUCUGCUUUGUUUGACGCGUGGCGGGUUCUGACGCAGUACAUCCGCAACCACGAAAUAAGUCAACACCCGCCCACAGAAUGGCACCGCACAGCUUUCUAACUAAUGGCAGAUCUUGAACCCAAGAUGCCGAAGGUAGGCGUAUGUCCUCAGGCGACGUGCCCUUGCAAAGUGUCGCUUGCUGCAGCUUCUGGGCAUUCAACGGUUAACUCUGGUAUCAUGUGGGCAGAAAACGAACGUAACAACCUGUUAGCAUUUG